GAUGAACGCUGGCGGCGUGCCUAAUACAUGCAAGUCGAGCGAACAGACGAGGAGCUUGCUCCUCUGACGUUAGCGGCGGACGGGUGAGUAACACGUGGAUAACCUACCUAUAAGACUGGGAUAACUUCGGGAAACCGGAGCUAAUACCGGAUAAUAUAUUGAACCGCAUGGUUCAAUAGUGAAAGACGGUUUUGCUGUCACUUCUAGAUGGAUCCGCGCCGCAUUAGCGAGUUGGUAAGGUAACGGCUUACCAAGGCAACGAUGCGUAGCCGACCUGAGAGGGUGAUCGGCCACACUGGAACUGAGACACGGUCCAGACUGCUACGGGAGGCAGCAGUAGGGAAUCUUCCGCAAUGGGAGAAAGCCUGACGGAGCAACGCCGCGUGAGUGAUGAAGGUCUUCGGAUCGUAAAACUCUGUUAUUAGGGAAGAACAAAUGUGUAAGUAACUAUGCACGUCUUGACGGUACCUAAUCAGAAAGCCACGGCUAACUACGUG
rnacentral:rRNA from 1 species